UAGAAAGACACAGAGCAGCAACUUGUAGUAGAGCCAGCUGGUGGUGUGUGACAGGAGCACUGCAUAGCUUAUGGAGAGCCAGAUUCUAUUCCCAGUGACCGAUCAUCAUUGUAGCAGCCAAUUGGUAAUAGCACCCUCCUGUGCGGAUCCCACUGCUUCCAGUGGUGCCUGCUUGCUGGCAGGCAUCUGACAGAGCAGAAAAGUUAUGGGCUCUAUUGACUGUGUUGCUGGGAACUAGGCCAUGCAGCCUGCCCUCCCUUUUGAAGGACAUCCCUGGAGGUAGCCCUGCUUUGGAGUAACACAUUGGGAGGAACAGAGACAGUGUCUUGCUGCAGCUGCAGACAGAGGUCAGCUCACAUUGGUUCAUUGAGGCCACCCUAACCCUUGUAGCACAGGAUAACGCAUGUCACAUGCUGAAAAAAUCAACAUAGAGGCUGGAUAUUUCAUCCCUAGCUUCCUACAUUUGGUCAGGAUCUGUCACGUGAUCGGCGCUCUACUUCCGGCAAUCCCAUUCCAAUCAGAGGAUGACUGAAAACAACACAAGAUAUAAGCAGUACAAGACAUAGUGACAGCAUCAAUAAUGCAAAUAUAGAACAUCCUAUGA